GGAUGGUUUCUAGUCGUACGCCAUAAUAAUUUCAAUUAGACUGACAACAACAGUCUUGGAGUCGAAACCCUACUGUAAUUCAAUAAGCGACAGCCCGCGACUGCGCCAAUCCCCCUCCUUCCAAAACACAACAACAGCCACAUUUGUUUCCAGACAGCGUUUGGGGUGUGGCGGAGUAUAAAUAAAAUCCCUACUUUAACAUUGAAUUGAAUAAGCAAAAAGUAAG